AUAUUUCCAAGAUGAACUCGAAGGCCUUUCUUAUCGCAUGCAUUCUCUUAGCUACCAUCGUCUUCUCUCCCCCGUCCACUUGCACUGCUCGAGAAUUGGCCGAGCGAGGUGAGAUUUUAUUUCCAACAUUAACUUAAGAAAAGCAGUUCAUUUUGUGUGUGUAAUCUCUGUGUACGCCGGCGUUUUUUCAUGCAAACAAACUUUUGUUAUAAAACUGAUGAGUCAACCUUUACUUUUACUUCCAGCAUUAAUUAAGUUAAGAUAAUCAUUAAUUUCAUGUUUUGUAUGUAUAUAUUAUUUAAUUAAUCUGUCGUAAGCUAUCUUAUAUAUAUAUAUAUAUAUAUAUAAAGAUGAUUCUGCUAUAAUAUCAGAUUAUGUGAACAUGAAUUUGCUAUAACAUGCGUGAAUCUUGCAGAUCCCAUCCCCACCUAUAAACCAGCAGGUUGCCCAAAUCCUUACAAGCGUAAUUGUGGGCGCCCUUAAGAUUAGAAGCAAGCAAAGUUGAGUGCUGCUUAAAAGUAUGGAGAGCUUCUGCUGUCUUUAUCAAUAUGUAAAAUGAUCAGAACUAUUUAUGUGAGAAUACUAAAUAAAGUUCUCCAGUGGAUUAGAAGAAGCAAGCAAAGUUGUGAAGUAUGGACGGCUCAUAGUGUCUUUAUCAAUAUGUAAAAUUAAUGUUAUGUUGAUAUGGGAACUAUUUAUGUGAGAAAAAUAAAUGAAGUUCUUAGUGAGUGAGUUUCAUGGUAUCUUUUGAGGUUUUAAUUUCGGUCAUUAUGCAGUCCUCUGUUUGAAAAUUACAUUGAAUCACAAAAACAAACACUCUCUAACUCUAAUACCAUAUCAAUUUAACUUCAAAGCUGCACAGCCCUUGUUUGAGUGGGGUUUUUUCCUUUAAUUUUGUCAAAUGACAUGGAAAAGAAAGUGAUUUCAUAAUUUAUCAAGAAUCUCUCUAUUAUUUUUUAUUUUAUUUUCCAUUAAUGCAAUACUCAGUUGAACAUGUCUCUUCGGGCUGUAAUAUUAACAUGUAAUAUUUUAAUUGUUUUUUUAAUUAUUAAUUUUUAUUUCUAAUUUUCUCGGUCUUUACCAACCAAAAAAUAUUAUCAAUAAAUAGUGACUAAAAUAGCAACAUUAUUUUUUAUUGAAAAACAUCACCAUAAUUUAUCGAUGAUAUUUUUUUUUGUUAGUAUUUAAUAAUUUUCUAACACUGACUAGAGUUUUAAAGGAUACCAAUCGUCCCACCAUAGAUGAGUGGUCUUACCAUUUCAAACGGUUUGAUGAAUUGCUUUUGUACUAUUAGAGAAUAAUAUAAAUUAUAUCUUGAGACCUCAUUUAACAUCUUAAACUUUUAGGUUGAAUUGGUUUUUUGAUAUGGUAUCAGAGCCUUGAUGACCAAGCGGUCACGAGUUCAAAUCUCACCACCCUCAUUUAUUUGAGAAAAAUUAAAGAUAAGAUAAUAUGAGCUCAAGCCCAAAAGGCUUUCUUUUGAGGGUGUGUGUUAGGGAAUAAUGAGUUGAAUUAGUUCUUUAACACGUACAAAUGUUAUAAGCUAGAGUAAUUAUCAUCGAUGUUAAGAAUAACUAUUGGGUACUUUAUGGCUCCAAAAGCUAUUGCAUAAAUGUAAUUACAUCAUUUUUAAGCAACUUUUGUACUAGUUGUUAGUAGUAUAUUGGCUCUUGCUCCGCAGCAGAUCAAUAUUAAGAAUAUAGUUGUUGUAACCCAUUUUUGGGUCCCCACAAAAUAUAUAUAAAAAUAUAUAGCCAAAGGAGUUUAGAAAAAUAAUAAGAGGUGGGAGCGCUCAGAAAGAAUCAGAAAAAAAUUCAUUGAGGAGAUUCAGAAAUACAAGGAGUGAAAUUUUACAGUAUAUAUUUGACUGAGGAGAGCCCUGUUGGAAGAGAAAAUUUAAUUUGAAGAGAAAAGGGCCAAAAUUGGAUGUUUAUGGACUCAAUUGGAUUUUAUUGAAGGUUUAUUUGAAUUUAUAGAGGUUUUGAUUGCAAGGAAAAUUGAGUUUUAAGUCAAUUUAGGCUUUAAUUGGAAGAAAUUAAAGUUCUGAGGUCAAAUUAUAAUUUUUGAGAGUUGAUUUGGUUAAAUCAAGGGCUUAAUUGCAUAAAUAUUGAAGUUUAAGGGCCAAUUAGGGAAUUAAUUGAAGAAAUUCAAAACCAAGGACCACAUUGGAAAAGGCGCGCAAGUAUAGGGGCUGCAAUUAACAAAAUCCGGGGGCCAAAUUGAAGAAAUUGAAAGUUUAAUGGUCAAGUAGGGAUGAGAUUGAACGAAACUGAAAGUCGGAGGACUAAAUUGAGAAUUGGCAAAGAAAUCCCUAUUUUUAUCAAAAACGGCGCCGUUUUGCAUUUAAAAAAAAAAAAAAAAAAGAACCAGUUACUGUUCAUUUUCUUCCCCACCAAGCUGCCCGAGUGGCCGACUUCCAGGCGUGUUUUCUGCCUCGUUUGGCCCCCAAAUCCGACAAAAAAUGCGCCAACAUCUCCACCUGAAACCCCUUUAUCCCGGAGAAUGGUCCGGUCGGGUCGAAAAAUUUAGAAACGGCUCCGUUGAGUGGCUCUAAGUGGCCACCUCGGGCAGUUCACAGCCUUGAGCUGCCAAAUUUGGCAGCUCGAGGUGCACACUUUGAACCAACGGUUUGGAUUCCUCGAGUCGAAUCAAGGGCUGAGAAUUUUUCCCCAUUGAAGACAAGAUUACCCUCUUUCCAGCCCUAGGAGAAAUUUUCAUGCUGAAACGGUUGGCAGGAGGGAGCUCAAAAUUGGGAUAAAAUCAGCUUUUCCUGCUCGGUUUUCCUGCAACCAGCCUUCUCUUUCUUUUUUUUCUCUCCGCCGUGGCUUCCAGCCGCCACCACUGAUCUCUCCACUGUCCUUACCACAAAACACCACAUCCCAUCCAUCACCCAGCAGCCUCACCACAGGCCACAGUACCCCUCUUUUCCUCCCUCUCCUCUCUACAAAAAUCUCCUCCUCUGCCAUCGUGAUUCAGACAGCCUCCACACCGACAGCAGAGGUAGCAACCAUCUUGCCCAAAAGCUCUCUUCCACUCCUACCAGCAGCAACCGGAGUAACAGCUCCUUCCUCAGUCACACCAACAGAUCCAGCCGAGAGCUUUCCUUCUCCUCUGCAGGAAUCUGCUCCUGCUUCUUUCAGCCGGGACUAGUGCACGCCUGUCGCCACCCAGCGCCACCGUGAGCCAUAGCCGGAGACAGCAGCCACGAUCACUCAUUCCAGGUACCUCUCCUCUCCCUUUUUUCUGUCCCCUCUUCCCUGUUGUUUUCCUCGGCAUGCAGAACGUGAAUUCACGUUCUGCAGCAAUGGAAAUAUAAUUAGCUGGUUACUGUGCGCUGCACAGUAACCAGCUAAUUAUAAGCACCUGGUUAAUAUGCGCGGUUACUGUACAGGUCAUUAUAUAUUAUGUAUAUUAUAUUGUGUUUUGUUUAUUUAUAUAUAGAUAUAUAUAUAUAAAAAAAUUUAAUUAAUUUCUUCGAAAAAUUAUUUCAAAAAAUAUGUGAUUUUAUGUAAUUUUUAUUACUGUAUUUUGAUCAAUAUCGGUUUGUAUUUUUAUACUGUAAAGAUACAAAUCCGGUAUUAAAAUACCCGGUUUUCGUCAAGACAUAAAAAAAAAAUGUUUUGUUUUCAUGCAUACGGCCUAGUCUCUCCAACAUAUAUAUAUAAAUAUUAUAACAUCAUAUUUUUCACACAACAAAGAAAAUUUCAAAACAAUAUAUGUAUUAGCAUGCAUUUUGGCUUUAAUAACCAGUUUAUUCAAGCCAUGAGAACUAGGCCAAUAUUUCAAAAAUUCUAAAAAAAUAUUUUUGUCCUCUUUUAGUAUAUGGGAUUACGAAUUUAUAUGUAAAACGUAUUCCUGAUGUUAAAAAUAUGAUUUUACAUAGACGUUAGAACGGUUAGGUUUUACCCGAUAAGAUAAGAACCUCCUUAUUGAGGAGGACUUUUCUUGAACCAUAGACGGACCAACAACUAGGAAACAUAACGAGAACUUGAAUUUUAUCAGACAAAUAAACAAUGCAGCUUACCUUAGGUAGGGCAUAUUUGGGGUGCUAAUACCUUCCCUUUACGCAACCAGUCCCCGUACCCAAUCUCUGAGACCAGUUAGGGUUCCUAGUGACCAAAAUACUAGGUGGCGACUCCCAUUCCAUUUUCUUCCAACAAAAGACAAUAUUUUCUUGUCUCCCCACAUUUGCCAGAUAAAUAUCAUACACACUUCCUAGUUUUAAAAGUGGAAUACUCGCCGCGACGCCGCGCACCCGCGACAGAAUGGCGACUCCACUGGGGACCUUGUGGACUAAGCUUUGUUUUUGUCUGAUUUGUUUUUUUGUUCUCUUGUGUUUUUAAUAUACCUUUCCUUUUGUUAUAUGCUUAUAUGCUUUAAAUAUUUUUACACAUAUUGUUCAUGCAUUUGUAUAGAACUGUCUCAUACAUCUUAUAGAACUGUCACAUGCAUCACAUACUUUGAUUUUGAGAAGCACACACAAGCUUUAAGUUAGGUGGGGGAUUAGCGAUUUGCCCUAUGACUAUCGGUCAGGGUUCAGAUGCGUGAAACACCCAACUCAUAUCUGAGUGCCCGCUUGGUAAUGGUGGGUAUACGUACUUUAACCGUUCCUUGCGACGCCCCCAUACUGUCUUUACGAAGAACGUCACUGGGCAGAUAUGAGACCCUUUUAAAGACCAGAUAGAAAACCUACCCAUUCUCACCUAUAUAAAUAGAACUUGUCCUUAGGAUAUCUAUCUUACGUUCAUUUGCAUCAUGAUUAAUAAUUCAUCAAUCCAGGUUUUUAAGCCGAAAUCUUGCCAAAGGAUUACGAAAGUCAUGAAUCGACUUUAAGAUAUACAUUUGCACGAGCAUCAUAUUUUCAUCACGCAUUUGUUUUUAAUUCAUCAUAUGCACGACAGAUCGUGAAACAUAGGUCCCACAUCCAAAGUCCACAACACCCGGUCUAGAUCGAGAAUGGAGAACGAAGAAAGAGCUCACUUAGAGUCACAUUAUCAGACCGAGUUGGAGUCCGUAAAAAAUGAAGUUUCUCGACUAACCGACUUACUCGAGCAGCUUUUAAGAGCUAAGAAUGGGGAGGGAACAUCAGCACAACAGCCUGAAGGAGCGCCAGCAGCUCACAUCCCUCAAGCAUCUCAAAACCAGGGGGCAAACUCGGCCAAUGAACAACAUUUUGUGCCUGUCGCCCCUAUCCAGCCAACUCAUGCUCCAGUCACUGUGGACUUAACAGCGGAGGGAAUCCCGGAUAAUAGGUCUCCCGGUUUGAUGGACCAAGACAAGCUGUCUGCUUUGGAAGAAAGAUUACGGGCAAUUGAGGGUAAUGAUUGGUUUGACCCUAUGCGAGCAGCCGAAGUAUGUUUAGUACCAAACAUCGUGGUGCCAAAAGAUUUUAGGAUACCAGAGUUCAUUAAGUAUACUGGUUUGGAAUGCCCAAACACUCACCUUCGAUCCUACUGCAACAAAAUGGCAGAAGUAAUCCAUGAUGAUAAAUUGCUAAUCUAUUUCUUUCAAGAUAGCCUAGCAGGAUCCGCUUUGAGCUGGUACAUGAAGUUAGACAGUGUCAGGAUUAGGAGCUGGAGAGACUUGGUGGAGGCUUUCCUUAAACAGUACAAGUUUAACAUGGAAAUCGCUCCUGAUCGAACAAGUCUAAUGUCAAUGGAGAAAAGGAGCCAAGAGUCGGUAAGGGCCUAUGCGCAAAGGUGGAGAGAUGAGGCAAUGCAUGUCCAACCCCCUUUGAUAGAAACAGAGAUGGUGACCUUGUUUGCCAAUACCUUUAAAGCACCAUAUUAUGAGCACCUAAUGGGUAGCUCAUCUCAGCAUUUCUACGAUGCGGUACGCAUAGCUGAAAGAAUAGAGCAAGGGAUUAAAGCUGGACGUAUAGCUGAGCCAUUGGAGAUAAAGGGUUUUAUUGGAAGAAAAAUGGAAGGUCACAUUUACGACUUUGAAGGUGGGUCCAAGGGCAAUAUAAUGGAUUCACUCAACCCACAAAUACCUACCCCUCAUGUUGCCCACAUAAACUUUAACAAACCAUUUUCCUCUAAUCGAGCAAAUAACCAGUCAAACAACCAAAACAACUACCAAAGACCAAAUACAAGGUACAUCUCAGAACAACUACCGCCAUUACCCAUGCCUUUGAAGGAAAUGUAUGCCAAACUACUGAGCAUUGGACAAAUAGCUCCUAUCCCUACAUUACCACUACAACCACCAUUCCCCAUCUGGUAUAAGCCCGAGUUGACUUGCGAGUACCAUGCUGGUAUUCCCGGACAUUGUCUUGAAACGUGCUACGCUUUCAAGAACAUGUUGUUGAAGCUCAUCAAGAUAGGAUGGGUGUCGUUUGAAGACACACCCAAUAUCAAUUCAAAUCCAUUGCCUGGUCAUGACAAAAGUAAUAGGGGAUAAAGGGUGUUGCUACCCAAUUUUUGACCCAUGUUUUGAUAAAUUUUUUAAAAAAUCCAAAAAUAGCGAAAAACAUUGAAAAUCCAAAAAAAUACAUUUUUAAUACAUUUGCAUCGUUUUUAGCAUUUUUAGCAUCAUCUUAAAAGAAUUUAAAUUUUCAACGACAUUUGGAACGCGUUCAACUUUUAACGCGUUAUUUUUAAAAUCAUUGAUUUUCUUCAUUGAGUCGACGUUGAUAUUGCUCGUUUUCAAAAAUACAAAAAAAUUAAGAAAAAUCAAAUUUUACAAAAAAGAAAGAAAGUUGAGGGACCAAUUUUGAGAUCCAUGCAACAUUUUACCUAUAAAUACUGGUUCACAACUCAAACAAAAGGGGGGGGGGGUAAUUUUGAAAUUUGAGGGGAGAGGCAACACAAAAACAGAAACCCUAAAAGCCUAAUUUUUUCUCCCCUCACGGGGGAGGCAGCCGCCAGCCCCCCACCGUUUGAUUUUUCUCUUCUCCCUCACCGAAAGAGAGAGCCGCCAGCCCCCCCUGGAUUAUUUUUCUCUUCUCCCUCAACCGGACAACCGAUCUUCCCCACCCUCACAAAUCAGCCUCACCGAAACCCACUGACCAGACGAUUUUCCUCCUCCCCUUGUCCUCUGCCAAACACAAACCAGGCCACACCCUUCUUCCCCUCACAGGAGCUAAACCUUCACCCAGCCAUACUCUCCCCUCAUCUCACCAGGGCUGUUCCUUCACAGCCGGUUUUCCCUCAGCCACUGUGAACGCCAUCUCCAGCCGCUCCCCCAUUUCAACAGAUCUUCCCUCUCAGCUGCUCCCUUCUCCAGCCGCCAGCUCGCCAGACCAAAAGGAGGGCAGAGCCGUUCCCCUUCGUUCUCCCCUCUCGUCGGCCGCCUCCUCAUCUUCCCCGAUCUCUUCAUCUCCAUCAACACCGAAGCUUCAUCCAGCAGCAGCCAACACACGGCAGCACCCACAGAGUCAACAGCCGUUCCCAUCUCCACCCGACAAACCCAGCAGACCCGAACCGGCCACCAGCUGCUGCACAGCCAUCGCCGCCCAAACGCCAGACCUGCCACCCAAAGCAGAGGAGAAGACGAAACCCACAACAAAUUGACCCGCCGUGUAGUCGAAGAAGGAGAAGGGAGAGAAGCCGAUCUGGACCAAAAAGAAAAAAUUAAAAUCAACUGCUGUUGUGCGUUGUUUCUCCUUGUUGCAGGUGACGGUGACCUUCACCGCCGACGUAGGGAGACAGAGAAGAAGAAGAGGUUCCCGAUCCACCGGUUUCUGCCACCUUCAUCGGCGGCGGCGCGUGGAACCACGCGCCGCCAGUGACGCCACUGUUCUGGCAGCUCCAGAAGUCGGCCUGACACUGUUCCGGGUUGUUUGGUUCAUUUUGUAAUUUUCAAAUUGUUUAAUGUAAUAUUUGUGUAAUUUUGAGUUUUUUUUUAUAAUUUGUACUUUGUGUAAAUGUGGAGGAAAAAGAAAAAAAGAAAAGAAAAGAAAAGAAAAGAAAAAAACAAAUAUUAAUAGAAAAAGAGUUGUGCGUGUUUUGUUUUUUUGUUAUGUAUAUUAUUGAAUAAAAAGAAAAAAAAUGAAUUUAAUUUAUAUGCACAAAUAUCUAAAGGACAGAUAAAAAUCAUGUUGUAUUUUCCAUAAAAAUGUAGAACAUGUAUCUACAUAUAUUUUGGGAACUAAUAACUGAUUUAUCAAAGCCUUAGAAUUGGGCUAAAAUUUUAUUUUUAAAACGCAUCAAGUCCACGAAGCAGCUUACCUCAGGUAGGGUGCGUUAGGGGUGCGAAUACCUUCCCUAACCACAACCAGUCCCUUACCCGCGAAUCUUUGACAAGACCAGUACAUCAGGUUUCCUAGUAGCCCUCAAUAAAUUACUAGGUGGCGACCCCAACGAACCAAGCAAGCAAAACACAUAACAACAGAAAAAUCGCCAGCAGAUGCCGCGCGGAUUUUGACGUGCGACAGAAUGGCGACUCCACUGGGGAAGGUAUUGUUUCUGAUGAUAUUGGACUAAGCUUUGUGUAUUUGAUGUGUUUAUGUUUUGCAUUUUUGUCUUGUUUUAUUUUUGUUUUAUUCAUGCAUUUUGUAGAAUUGUCUCAUGCAUCACAUAUUUUAAUUUUUUUAAAGCACACACAAGCUUCAGGUUAGGAGGGGGACUAGCAGCUUACCUUAUGACUUUUAGUCAAGGUUUAAGUUUGUGUAAACCCCAACUCUUCGUUGAGUGCUUAGACUGGUAAUAGUUGGACAUGUGCCAUCUCAUUGCCUACAAGCCCCCAUAUUGCCUCCACGAGGGCAAUCACUGGGACAACAAGAGACCCUUUUUAGAGACCAAGUAAUAAACCUACCUUUUGUCUCACUUAAAAAAUUAGAACCUGCCUUUAGGAUGUGUGCUCCGUAUAUAUUGUUUUGCAUCAGGGCAAACCCUUCUUGAAGCAUCUUGAACUCAAGACUUUUGGGUGACCCAAUGGCCGUCACUUAGAAAAUUUUCAUUGUAGAGUUUGGGCAAGAAUCAAGAUUCUUGUUUCAUCAUACAAGAGUUACGACCAUAUGUCACCCCUCGAAGGGCGAGUUCAUCAUAUAGUUUACAUGUCCAUACAUUUAUCAUGCAUGUACCGGGUUGAAAGAUAGGUUCUCCCACACAAGUUGUGCUACGCGCGAAUGAAGAAAGAUGAUAGAAGCAAAGAAAGUUGUCGGAGAAAGGCUCAUUGUCAAAAGGAAGUUGAGAGCAUCAGAGGUGAAGUAGCCAGAAUCAGAUAUGCUUGAUCAAGUGUAGAGCAUCAAAGGGAAAGGGAAUGUCUACACAGUCUUCUGUGGGAACACUGCUUGUCCAUGUCUCAUUGAAGUUACAUCUCCAUUUUAGUCCUGAACAACAACAGCAAUGCCUUCAGUCAUCAACUAAGGACAACUUUGGUUCUUGUUCAGUUGCACUGCUAAUUGUUCAUCGCCUCCAUAUCUUUCAAUGACACCAAAUAAUUGCUAGCCUUCUGUGCAUGGUGCAUUAGUCUUCUUUGAAGUUACCCCAACUGUUAGCUCAAUUCCAGUUCAGCGGCACAAGAUGUAAAAAAAAAAACAAAAAAAAAACAAAAAAAAAACCCCGAAAAAAAAACUGAAAAAAAAAACCAUGAUUCGACCCUGAACUUCUACGUUGCAGAGCUCUCUCUGUAGAUAUUUCUUUAUGGAUCUGCAAGUGGGGAAUGCAAGAGGGGAUGUAGUAUUUUCAUAUGCUACAAAAAUUCGCCCCAUCAAUUUCAGAACCGAAACACUGGAGUAGGCAGAAGGGUCACACCUGGUCUGAAAACAUGAGCCGUCAUUAAACUUCAACGCGGCAGAGCUCUCUCUACAAAAAUCCGUUUGUGGCUCUGCAAGUAGGGAAUGCAAGAGGGGAUGCAGUACUUUCAUAUGCUACAAAACUUUGGCUCAUCAGUUUCAGCACUGAAACACUGGAGUAGGCCGAAGAGUCAGACCUAGUCUGAAAACAUGAGCAGUCGUCGAACUUUGACGUGUCAGAGCUCUCUCUACAAAAACCCGUUUGUAGCUCUGCAAGUGGAGAAUGCAAGAGGGGAUGUAGUAGUUUCAGAAAAUGUGAAAAUUUAUGCCACCAGUUUCCGCAUCGAAACACUGUAGUAGGCAGAAAAGCCAGACUUGAGCUAGAAAACAGGAGCAAAUAUAGAACUUCACCGUGGCAGAGCUCUCUCUGCAGAAACCUGUUUGUAGAUCUGCAAGUGGAGAAUCCAAGAAGGGAUGCAGCAGUUUCUGAUCAUCUAUAAUUUUCUCUCAUCGGUGUUAGCUUGAAAAUGCAAAAGAAGGGAAAAGAGACAAACCUCGGCUGAAAAAUAGAAAGAAGAUUGAAACUUCAACAGAGCAGAGCUCCCUCUACAGGUGUCUGUUUGCUGCACCAUCAGUGAGGAAUCAAAGAGGAGACAAAGGAGUUUUAGAUUCAUCAAGUUCUCUUCCAGUUUUGACAAUGUGUGAUUCCACACGUCGGCAGUGGCAAUGCUGCAAGUCUCCGGGUGCUGCCAAGAUUACCUAGCUGUUGGAAGGUUUCCAACAAUCCACAAACGACCACAACAACAGGGGAAGAUUGACAUGAUGUUGUGAAGAUUGUCAAAAGAAUUGAACAAGCUAUAAAGAGAGGAAAGAUUGAAGGUUUUGCCAUGGAUUCCAGAACUAUGAAGAGAGUUGAAUCAGAAGAUGACUCUCAAUUGAGAAACCUCAGUUAUUUUGCCUAGUCAAGUCUCGCUCAAGCAUCAACUACUCCAAUGUCUCUGCCAAAGAUAGUCAUUCCUUUGCCAUGUGGGUUUAUUUACCAGCAUCUGCCAGAUUCCAGACUUUUUCCUGACUCCGACAAAACCCAUGCAACCACCGUUUUCUAGGUGGUAUAAUCCAGACAAGAGAUGUGAUGUCAUGGUGGGGUCCUUAGCCAUUUCAAUUGAAUAAUUGCAAGAAUCGAGUCCGCAAAUUGGUGAGCAAAAGACGAGUGGAGUUUGCGAAGGAGGGUGUCAUUGGCUAAAUUGUCGCUAGAACAUCCUCAGAAUGACGAGUGAUCGGAAUUGCUUGGCAAAACAGAGAUAUUGCCAAAGAGGCUGAUCUAAGAAGGGGUUAAACUGUCAAUCAUUUUUGUUAUGAAUUUUUGCCAUUCUGCAUUUUGUUUCGGGAUCACAUCUCCUCCUUGAACGAAACAUGUCUUUCCUUUGUCUUCCUGUUGUUUUGAAAUCAAGAGAUGCUUCUUUCAAAGGGUAUUUUUACAAAAUAUUUUGAUCAAGCUCCAACAUGCGAUUAAGAUUAAUCAAUCCUGAAGAUUAAAAGUAUUUUGAUUGCAGAAAUAACUUGAUGCUUGAAAAUGACAUGAGGUGACCAAACAAUUUUUGAACUCAUACUUCCUGAAACUGAACCACACAUCAUAUAGCUAGUUUUAGCAGUAUGCAUAAUGACAUGUAGUGGAUUCAAUAGUUAUGGACUCGUGAAUCAUGAUUCUUACAAGUCCAAAUCAUUGCACUGGAUGAGGUCAAAAUUUAUCGAUUCUAACCGACCUUGCUUGAAAUGAGAAAAGGCCAUCUUUGUUAUACUUUCACAUUUCUUGAAAUAUUAUCCCUUGCAGUCCCAUUUUGAGCCUGGUAAAGUAUUUUCUUUCAAAAAGAAACCCUGACUAGGAUCACACCCUACAUUGGGGAAAAAUGAGAGAUAUUUUGAAGACACUGAUUGGACUAAUGGAUAAAAGAAAGGCUUAGAACAAAAGUCAAAUGAUUGAGAAAGGGCUAGAAGAAUAAAAGCCAUAGAUUGAGGGCCAUCCAAGAAAACUUUGAGGAAGGCUGUGAGAAAGCAAAAAAAAAAAGAAAAGAAAAAAAAGAGAUUGAAAAAAGAAGAAGUUGAAUCUGCCUUCACUUAAAGGCAAGUCAAAGAUAAAGGAAGGAGAAUGCCUAUCAAUUCUAAGAGUGGCAAAAGAGGUUUCAAUUGAAGAAAGACACAACAAAUGCCAAAAGUCAACACUAAAAAAAUCAAGUUUCAUGUUUUUUGGUGUGUCUAGGAUAAAGCCUUUAGUGUCUUUAAAAAAAAAUUUUUAGAUUGAUUAUUCAUCAUAGAAAAAGUUGGAUUUACAUUAUGACCUAUGUUAAGAGAAUUCUGAUCUUUGAGAUUAACAAGGUUAUAUGUCACUUUCUCCACAAUGACAACAAGAAAGAGAGUUGAUGAAUAGUUGAUGUUGAUCCUAAGUCUUUGAAAUCCUCAAACACUUUUUGAGCUUGUGAAAUUCCUUUCUUUCAUAGCCAUGAACCAUAGCUUGCAUUAUGUGCUUUUAAAAGCCCUUUUUAAUCAAGUAAGCAAUCUGAACCGAUAAAUGGCGAUCUCAAAACUUGAAGAGUUUUCCAUAAGAGUCAUAGCUUCAUGGAUUAAGCUAAUGGUUAUUAUGCAUGCUGAUAAAAUUGGUGUUAAAAAAAAAAAACAAUCUUUCUUGAUAAGUCCUCAAGUUUUGACUUGUGUCUUUUGUUUUUUGAAAUUCACAGAAGGUCACCUCAUCAUAGACCAUCAAAAGAUAUACCCGAAAUCAGAGUCUAAAAUGGAUACAAAGAACCAUGAAAAAAAAAACCAUUUUAGUCUUACAAUGGGUCAAUUUCUGUUUUCAAAAUACAUGACAAUCAAAGGACUGUAUAUUUCGAAUAACGUGUGUUGGAUCUUUGACCGAAGAAACUUGAUUUUCAAAAACUGACAUCUCUCUGAUUUCAUUUCAACAAUUAGACUUGAAUUGACAUGAUCUUUGAAAUAUGAGAGUUGAUUCCAGAACAAGAAAGAUUGUUAAACAACAAGAACAUCGACCGAAUUUGCAAAAUCCUUGACAAGAAUGACAUCAACACUUCUUGACACUCCUUGAAAAGUUGACCACCUGGAGGCAAUACAGUGGAUCAUGGGUAGGAAAACAAGCAGUAUUUAGAUCAGCUGGGGGCAAUUAAAGAUGAUCAAAUGAUGAAUCAAUGCACUAAGGACAAUAGUGUUUAAAGAAAGCUAAUCAGCAGGACAAACAUUCAGAUCAUUACUGGGGGCAAUGUUGUUCAAAGAUAGUCCAUGAUCUAGUGAACCCCGUCAACAAUCGGGAAAGCAAAGAUACACUUCAAGGAAAUCUUUUGAAACAUGGCUAUCGACCGAUGUGGGCAUACAGUUGCAUUCGAACGAAUAUGAAAAGAUGCACACCACCAAGAUUGAUUGCGGAACAAUGUUGUACUUGAAGGAUAAUGUCAUAUUAUCAUCUCCAACUUGGCUAUGACUUUUGAACGAUGUUAUCGCAUAGUUGUGAAUAUUGGAAGGAUGCACUCACCAAGACUGACUGUGGGACCAUAUGUUUUGGAGCUCAAUGCGCACUUCACCGUAUGAAUAUGGGUGAUAACAUGAACAUCAUUGAUGAUGUCGAGACAUUUCUUUUCACUAUCUGAUUUGACAAGCUGAGAGAAAUCCAUGAGAAAGAACAUUGAGCAUACAACGAUGAGUCUUUCACUGCAAGCUAUGAGAUGCAUGUCUGGACGAUUGGAUAAUUUCCAUGAAGACUGGUGAUAACAUUACUUGAAGAGUAUUGUUUCAGCUUGAGGCAAGUUUAUGACUGAUGGACAAUCAUGAUGGGUGUUGGCAUGAUGCACACAACCAAUCAGAGGAUAAUUCUUAGAAGAAUCCAGGAGAGAAAAUCCUUCACGAUGAAUCAAGCAACACCACACUUGGGGGCAGAGUCAAGCUUGAUAAACCACAAGAGCAGUAACCGUUGAAGACAGCCUAGAUUGGGCACUGCACUUACAACUGAGUGGAUGGCUAGCACAUGAAUGAGUCAGUACAUGGGAAGGACAAAUAAAGCUUUGGAAUGCAAACAAAGGCACCCUGUGAUGAUGGAACAUCGAAGAGAGGGGACCUAUAUUUCACAUCAGGUAAGGAUGCAUGCAUGUCAUCUAACCUCAAAGCAUUGCACAUACUUAUGAUUUGUUACAGAAAGAUCCUCAAUGAAGUCCAGCAAGAUUGUGGACAAAGAAAGAAUCAUUGAGUUGAUAACAGAGAAUCAUGGUUGUGACCUUGAAACGGGAAGAAGAUGAGAUAAACCUUACUGUUAGGAAAAUCUCAAAGAAAUGAAAAGAUCAACCUUGCAAUCAGGAAGCAUCGAGUUUUCAAACCCUGCGAUCAAGAAUUAUCAAGAAGCACCAAGUUUUCUGGCCCUUCUUCUAUCAUCCCUUCAGGACUUCGCCAGGUAAGUCCCAUUUCUCACACUUGUCACAUCACAUCUUUCAUUUGGGUAGGUCACCCAUAACAAUGAGACCACUUCAUAUUUUUUCUAUCCUCCACCUGGGUAGGUCACCCAUAACAAUGAGACCACUUCAUAUUUGUUCUAUCUUCCAUCUGGGUAGGUCACCCAUUAUAACGCGACCACUUCACAUUUUUUCUAUCUUCCAUCUGGGUAGGUCACCCAUAACAAUGAGACCACUUCACAUUUUUUCUAUCUUCCACCUGGGUAGGUCACCCAUAACAAUGAGACCACUUCACAUUUUUCUAUCUUCCAUCUGGGUAGGUCACCCAUUACAAUGAGACCACUUCAUAUUUUUUCUAUCCUCCACCUGGGUAGGUCACCCAUAAUAAUGAGACCACUUCAUAUUUGUUCUAUCUUCCAUCUGGGUAGGUCACCCAUUAUAACGCGACCACUUCACAUUUUUUCUAUCUUCCACCUGGGUAGGUCACCCAUUAUAACGCGACCACUUCACAUUUUUUCUAUCUUCCACCUGGGUAGGUCACCCAUUAUAAUGAGACCGCACUUCACAUUCUUUCCAUUUGGGUAGGUCACCCAUCAUAAUGAGACCGUUUUCCAUCAUUUUUUCUUGGGUUCGUCACCCAUACAAUGAGACCAUCAUUUUUUUUCUUGGGUUCGUCACCCAUACAAUGAGACCAUCAUUUUUUUUCUUGGGUUAGUCACCCAUACAAUGAGACCAUCAUUUUUCUGGGGUUCGUCACCCAUACAAUGAGACCACCAUUUUUCUGGGGUUCGUCACCCAUACAAUGAGACCACCAUUUUUCUGGGGUUCGUCACCCAUACAAUGAGACCAUCAUUUUUCUUGGGUUCGUCACCCAUACAAUGAGACCAUCAUUUUUCUUGGGUUUGUCACCCAUACAAUGAGACCAUUUGUUCCACAUUCUUUGUUUUGGUUUAAUGAGGUCGCCAGAUGAGAUCUCAUGUAGCUUUGGUUAAAGGGAAUCGCCAGAUGGGAUUUCAGGUUAACCGAGUUACGUCACAUUUUUUAGUUCCAGUUGAAUGAGGUUGCCAGAUGGAAUCUCAUGUAGCUUUGGUUAAAGGGAAUCGCCAGAUGGGAUUUCAGGUUGACCGAGCUACCACACAUUUUUUAGUUCCAGUUGAAUGAGGUUGCCAGAUGGAAUCUCAUGUAGCUUUGGUUAAAGGGAAUCGCCAGAUGGGAUUUCAGGUUGACCGAGCUACCACACAUUUUUUUAAGUUCAAGUUGAAUGAGGUCGCCAGAUGGGAUCUCAUGUAGCUUUGGUUAAAGGGAAUCGCCAGAUGGGAUUUCAGGUUGACCGAGCUACACACAUUCUUUGGUUUUGAAAAAGAAGAUCGCCAGAUGGGAUCUCAAGUUAACGAAAAAAAAGAAAAAGAAACAUUUAGAGUUUUUCUUUACAAAGCUUACUAUGCGAAACAUUGAGGAGUUUUGCUUCGUAAGCAUUGUAAAGAGGGGGCAUCUGUUGCUACCCAAUUUUUGACCCAUGUUUUGAUAAAUUUUUUAAAAAAUCCAAAAAUAGCGAAAAACAUUGAAAAUCCAAAAAAAUACAUUUUUAAUACAUUUGCAUCGUUUUUAGCAUUUUUAGCAUCAUCUUAAAAGAAUUUAAAUUUUCAACGACAUUUGGAACGCGUUCAACUUUUAACGCGUUAUUUUUAAAAUCAUUGAUUUUCUUCAUUGAGUCGACGUUGAUAUUGCUCGUUUUCAAAAAUACAAAAAAAUUAAGAAAAAUCAAAUUUUACAAAAAAGAAAGAAAGUUGAGGGACCAAUUUUGAGAUCCAUGCAACAUUUUACCUAUAAAUACUGGUUCACAACUCAAACAAAAGGGGGGGGGUAAUUUUGAAAUUUGAGGGGAGAGGCAACACAAAAACAGAAACCCUAAAAGCCUAAUUUUUUCUCCCCUCACGGGGGAGGCAGCCGCCAGCCCCCCACCGUUUGAUUUUUCUCUUCUCCCUCACCGAAAGAGAGAGCCGCCAGCCCCCCCUGGAUUAUUUUUCUCUUCUCCCUCAACCGGACAACCGAUCUUCCCCACCCUCACAAAUCAGCCUCACCGAAACCCACUGACCAGACGAUUUUCCUCCUCCCCUUGUCCUCUGCCAAACACAAACCAGGCCACACCCUUCUUCCCCUCACAGGAGCUAAACCUUCACCCAGCCAUACUCUCCCCUCAUCUCACCAGGGCUGUUCCUUCACAGCCGGUUUUCCCUCAGCCACUGUGAACGCCAUCUCCAGCCGCUCCCCCAUUUCAACAGAUCUUCCCUCUCAGCUGCUCCCUUCUCCAGCCGCCAGCUCGCCAGACCAAAAGGAGGGCAGAGCCGUUCCCCUUCGUUCUCCCCUCUCGUCGGCCGCCUCCUCAUCUUCCCCGAUCUCUUCAUCUCCAUCAACACCGAAGCUUCAUCCAGCAGCAGCCAACACACGGCAGCACCCACAGAGUCAACAGCCGUUCCCAUCUCCACCCGACAAACCCAGCAGACCCGAACCGGCCACCAGCUGCUGCACAGCCAUCGCCGCCCAAACGCCAGACCUGCCACCCAAAGCAGAGGAGAAGACGAAACCCACAACAAAUUGACCCGCCGUGUAGUCGAAGAAGGAGAAGGGAGAGAAGCCGAUCUGGACCAAAAAGAAAAAAUUAAAAUCAACUGCUGUUGUGCGUUGUUUCUCCUUGUUGCAGGUGACGGUGACCUUCACCGCCGACGUAGGGAGACAGAGAAGAAGAAGAGGUUCCCGAUCCACCGGUUUCUGCCACCUUCAUCGGCGGCGGCGCGUGGAACCACGCGCCGCCAGUGACGCCACUGUUCUGGCAGCUCCAGAAGUCGGCCUGACACUGUUCCGGGUUGUUUGGUUCAUUUUGUAAUUUUCAAAUUGUUUAAUGUAAUAUUUGUGUAAUUUUGAGUUUUUUUUUAUAAUUUGUACUUUGUGUAAAUGUGGAGGAAAAAGAAAAAAAGAAAAGAAAAGAAAAGAAAAGAAAAAAACAAAUAUUAAUAGAAAAAGAGUUGUGCGUGUUUUGUUUUUUUGUUAUGUAUAUUAUUGAAUAAAAAGAAAAAAAAUGAAUUUAAUUUAUAUGCACAAAUAUCUAAAGGACAGAUAAAAAUCAUGUUGUAUUUUCCAUAAAAAUGUAGAACAUGUAUCUACAUAUAUUUUGGGAACUAAUAACUGAUUUAUCAAAGCCUUAGAAUUGGGCUAAAAUUUUAUUUUUAAAACGCAUCAAGUCCACGAAGCAGCUUACCUCAGGUAGGGUGCGUUAGGGGUGCGAAUACCUUCCCUAACCACAACCAGUCCCUUACCCGCGAAUCUUUGACAAGACCAGUACAUCAGGUUUCCUAGUAGCCCUCAAUAAAUUACUAGGUGGCGACUCCAACGAACCAAUCAAAGCAAAAUGAACAAACGAAAAAUCGCCAGCAGAUGCCGCGCGGAUUUUGACGUGCGACAAAGGGUUGGAAAACCUUGGUCAAGAAUCGUCAAUAAUGAAGAAGGCGAGAUCGAAGGAGAAGACAAGGAAACGCAAGUGGGGAAGGAAGAUGAAGCAUUGCCUCGGUUGACUUUACAGAACGGGUUGACCCAAGAACUUCUCGUAGUUUUCAAAAUGUAAAACAACUUUAUUUGCCUUAGCAUGUUUUUGUCAUUUGCUUUUGUCAUUGCUUUUAUUUUCUCUGUUGGGCAAUCAGGGCUCAUGUUUUCAGCCAGAUUUUAUGUUUGUCUUUGAGCCUACCUUUUUUUUAAUAAAUGAUGAGAUUAUGCAUUUUUUUGAACAAGUUUGAGUGGUUAUAUCAUAAAAUGGUUUAAUAUAAAAUUUAAGAAAAGCUAACCCUAAAGUACAUCCCUACCUCUGAUAGCGUAAUGAAUGGAUAAAUGAUUAAGUGGUCACUUUAUAAUCAUCUGUAAUUGUCUUUAUCAACCAUAACAAUGUGCAUUUUGAAAAAAAAAAAAAAAUUCAUCAUUAUCCCUUCACGCACUAAAAAAGUUUAUCUUUGGCUGAAUGAAUUUCUUCUCUAUAAAAGCCCAGACUAGGAUCACACCCCUACACUGGGGGCAAAACGAGUUGUUUUUUGAAAAGUUUUACGUGUUUAAAAUUGGUUGGAAGCCCAUUAGAUUUGAAAACCAAGCUAAAACAUUUGACAAAAGCAUGACAAAGAGGCAAAUACAAGUCAUACAUUUUGAGAAAAGGACUACUUGAAAGACUUCUUCUCCAAGAAUAUGAUAGGCAACACGAGAGAUGAAUUCAGCAUACGACUUCAAAAGUAAAGCUCAUGUUAAGAGGGAGUCUCAUGAACUAGAAGAAGAGGAUGGGGCCUAUGUUUCAAAACCAGGUACGAAUGCAUGCAUUGCAUCUAAUCAUAAAUCAUUGCAUGUAUGUUUUUUGGAUCGUUACAGAAGGAGAUCUUAGCGCAUUCCAACAAGAUUAUGGACGAAGAAAGAAUCAUUGAGUUGAUUCUAGAACAUACAAGAAGAGAAGAUAAUGGUUUUCAAACCAUGCUAGCAGGAAGAACGACAUCGAUAGCAUUCGAUAAAAAGGAAUCGCCAAAUGGGAUUUCAAGUUGUUGAGAUCGCCAGAAGGGAUCUCGUAUUUCGAUGGAGGUCGCCAGAAGGGACCUUAAAUUUCGGCUUUUGUAUAAAAGGAAUCGCCAGAUGGGAUUCCAAGUUGUUUGGAUAAAGGAGAUCGCAAGAAGGGAUCUUGUAUUUCGAUGAAGGUCGCCAGAAGGAACUUCAUGUUUUAGCUUUGGUAAAAGGAAUUGCCCGAUGGGAUUCCAAGUUAUUUGAGAUCACCAGAAAGGAUCUCGUACUUCGACAUUCAUCAAGGAAGGUCGCUAGAAGGGACCUCGUAUUGAAACUAUUUCUUAGAAAAGCAUGGAGUUUACUAAGAAUUCUUCCCCUUGGGUAGGUCACCCAUACAAUGAGACCAUUAUUUUUCUUGGGUAGGUCACCCAUACAAUGAGACCAUCAUUUUUCUUGGGUUCGUCACCCAUACAAUGAGACCAUUAUUUUUCUUGGGUAGGUCACCCAUACAAUGAGACCAUCAUUUUUCUUGGGUUCGUCACCCAUACAAUGAGACCAUCAUUUUUCCUGGGUAGGUCACCCAUACAAUGAGACCAUUCUUCAUCUUUUUUUACCUGGGUAGGUCACCCAUAAUAAUGAGACCACUCUUUCCUUCUCCCAUUCGGGCGGGUCACCCAUCAUAAUGAGACCACAAACGUGUUUUUGUAUUUGGUUAUGGGUAAAGGAAUCGCCAGAUGAGAUUCCAAGUUUUUGGGGUUAAAGGAGAUCACCAGAAGGGAUCUCGAGAUGACUAAAUUUUGAUCAUAGUUUAUGGGAUUCCAAGUUGAGGAGGAUUGCUAUAAAAGACAAGUUUCAGAUCAAUCAAGCUUCAAACUAAUCAGUUUCGGGACUGUUUUGGGUUUAUCUUUAUAAAACUUACUGCGCAAAACCUCUGCUCCGUAAGCAUUAUAAAGAGGGGGCAUCUGUUGUAACCCAUUUUUGGGUCCCCACAAAAUAUAUACAAAAAUAUAUAGCCAAAGGAGUUUAGAAAAAUAAUAAGAGGUGGGAGCGCUCAGAAAGAAUCAGAAAAAAAUUCAUUGAGGAGAUUCAGAAAUACAAGGAGUGAAAUUUUACAGUAUAUAUUUGACUGAGGAGAGCCCUGUUGGAAGAGAAAAUUUAAUUUGAAGAGAAAAGGGCCAAAAUUGGAUGUUUAUGGACUCAAUUGGAUUUUAUUGAAGGUUUAUUUGAAUUUAUAGAGGUUUUGAUUGCAAGGAAAAUUGAGUUUUAAGUCAAUUUAGGCUUUAAUUGGAAGAAAUUAAAGUUCUGAGGUCAAAUUAUAAUUUUUGAGAGUUGAUUUGGUUAAAUCAAGGGCUUAAUUGCAUAAAUAUUGAAGUUUAAGGGCCAAUUAGGGAAUUAAUUGAAGAAAUUCAAAACCAAGGACCACAUUGGAAAAGGCGUGCAAGUAUAGGGGCUGCAAUUAACAAAAUCCGGGGGCCAAAUUGAAGAAAUUGAAAGUUUAAUGGUCAAGUAGGGAUGAGAUUGAACGAAACUGAAAGUCGGAGGACUAAAUUGAGAAUUGGCAAAGAAAUCCCUAUUUUUAUCAAAAACGGCGCCGUUUUGCAUUUUUUUUAAAAAAAAAAAAGAACCAGUUACUGUUCAUUUUCUUCCCCACCAAGCUGCCCGAGUGGCCGACUUCCAGGCGUGUUUUCUGCCUCGUUUGGCCCCCAAAUCCGACAAAAAAUGCGCCAACAUCUCCACCUGAAACCCCUUUAUCCCGGAGAAUGGUCCGGUCGGGUCGAAAAAUUUAGAAACGGCUCCGUUGAGUGGCUCUAAGUGGCCACCUCGGGCAGUUCACAGCCUUGAGCUGCCAAAUUUGGCAGCUCGAGGUGCACACUUUGAACCAACGGUUUGGAUUCCUCGAGUCGAAUCAAGGGCUGAGAAUUUUUCCCCAUUGAAGACAAGAUUACCCUCUUUCCAGCCCUAGGAGAAAUUUUCAUGCUGAAACGGUUGGCAGGAGGGAGCUCAAAAUUGGGAUAAAAUCAGCUUUUCCUGCUCGGUUUUCCUGCAACCAGCCUUCUCUUUCUUUUUUUUCUCUCCGCCGUGGCUUCCAGCCGCCACCACUGAUCUCUCCACUGUCCUUACCACAAAACACCACAUCCCAUCCAUCACCCAGCAGCCUCACCACAGGCCACAGUACCCCUCUUUUCCUCCCUCUCCUCUCUACAAAAAUCUCCUCCUCUGCCAUCGUGAUUCAGACAGCCUCCACACCGACAGCAGAGGUAGCAACCAUCUUGCCCAAAAGCUCUCUUCCACUCCUACCAGCAGCAACCGGAGUAACAGCUCCUUCCUCAGUCACACCAACAGAUCCAGCCGAGAGCUUUCCUUCUCCUCUGCAGGAAUCUGCUCCUGCUUCUUUCAGCCGGGACUAGUGCACGCCUGUCGCCACCCAGCGCCACCGUGAGCCAUAGCCGGAGACAGCAGCCACGAUCACUCAUUCCAGGUACCUCUCCUCUCCCUUUUUUCUGUCCCCUCUUCCCUGUUGUUUUCCUCGGCAUGCAGAACGUGAAUUCACGUUCUGCAGCAAUGGAAAUAUAAUUAGCUGGUUACUGUGCGCUGCACAGUAACCAGCUAAUUAUAAGCACCUGGUUAAUAUGCGCGGUUACUGUACAGGUCAUUAUAUAUUAUGUAUAUUAUAUUGUGUUUUGUUUAUUUAUAUAUAGAUAUAUAUAUAUAAAAAAAUUUAAUUAAUUUCUUCGAAAAAUUAUUUCAAAAAAUAUGUGAUUUUAUGUAAUUUUUAUUACUGUAUUUUGAUCAAUAUCGGUUUGUAUUUUUAUACUGUAAAGAUACAAAUCCGGUAUUAAAAUACCCGGUUUUCGUCAAGACAUAAAAAAAAAAUGUUUUGUUUUCAUGCAUACGGCCUAGUCUCUCCAACAUAUAUAUAUAAAUAUUAUAACAUCAUAUUUUUCACACAACAAAGAAAAUUUCAAAACAAUAUAUGUAUUAGCAUGCAUUUUGGCUUUAAUAACCAGUUUAUUCAAGCCAUGAGAACUAGGCCAAUAUUUCAAAAAUUCUAAAAAAAUAUUUUUGUCCUCUUUUAGUAUAUGGGAUUACGAAUUUAUACGUAAAACGUAUUCCUGAUGUUAAAAAUAUGAUUUUACAUAGACGUUAGAACGGUUAGGUUUUACCCGAUAAGAUAAGAACCUCCUUAUUGAGGAGGACUUUUCUUGAACCAUAGACGGACCAACAACUAGGAAACAUAACGAGAACUUGAAUUUUAUCAGACAAAUAAACAAUGCAGCUUACCUUAGGUAGGGCGUAUUUGGGGUGCUAAUACCUUCCCUUUACGCAACCAGUCCCCGUACCCAAUCUCUGAGACCAGUUAGGGUUCCUAGUGACCAAAAUACUAGGUGGCGACUCCCAUUCCAUUUUCUUCCAACAAAAGACAAUAUUUUCUUGUCUCCCCACAUUUGCCAGAUAAAUAUCAUACACACUUCCUAGUUUUAAAAGUGGAAUACUCGUCGCGACGCCGCGCACCCGCGACAAUAGUAAAUAUUUUAAUAGCCUUGAGUCAAGUAGCAUGCUAGACCCAAGGUGUUUAGGUCUGGCGUAGUUGUCAAACCCAAGUCUCUUGGGUCUGGAGUGGUUGUCAGACCCAAGUAGCUUGGGUUAGGCAUGGUAGCCAGACCCAAGGCGCUUGGGUCUGACAAUAACACCAGACGCAAGCUACUUUUUUUUUAUCUUUUCUGAGGCUAAAAGUGUUAUUUUAUUAUAUAUGAAAAUUGUAAAAACUUGAAAUACCCUUUUUUGGGAGCAUAUCCUUUUUUAUUAUUAUUUUGGGGACAAAUAAGUAUUUUUAUUGUUAUGAAUAUUGUGAAAAACCAAGAAAGUCCUUGGUCAACAGUUCUAAUUUUUGUUGACUUUAGGGGUAAAAGAGUACUUUAAUUGUGUCUCAAGCACCUUGGGUCUGACAGUCUUGCCAGACCUGCGCACAAUAAACUAGUGGGAUAAUUAUGCACUUUAGUUGUCAGGAGAGAGAAAAUAAAGAAAGAACGCAAACAAUCAAUCACCAAGGGGCAAUCCAAUCAUUAUCUGGCUACGCGCGCUAUACCAUUUGCAAGAGGGCACGACUAUGCUUCUAAUUAGAUGGUGGUUGGCCAGAUUUGACCACUGAGAAGCAUCAUACGCGUCUCCUUAAUGGCAUGGGCACUGCCCAUUUGCUAGGGCAUGAGGAACACUAGCCCGCAACUUUUUGAUUAAAAAAUAACAAGUACAUCGUGACAAUACUAUAAAAUGCGUCGUUUCAUUUAUAUAUGAUAUGGCGCCAACACGUCAACUUCCAAAUCAAUCCCCAAUUUAUCCUUUGUCCGCUCAAGUCCUCAAAUGCAAUUUUGAUUUUAAGAAUCAAUUCAAUUACAUCCCUGCCAACUUCAAUCGCCGGCCCUAUAGUUGGUCGUCUUUCCCACUUUCGUCCUUGGUUUCUGAUUUAUGCAAUUUGACUCUCAAUUGAUCAAUAAACUUUUAAUUCUUCAAUUUGGCCCCUGAUUUGGUUAAUUACAGCCCCUCUAUUUACGCGUCUUUUCUAGUUUGGUCCUUGGUUUUGGAUUUCUUCAAUUAGGUCCCUAAUUGGCCAUCAAACUUCAAUAUUUAUGCAAUUAAGCCCCUGAUUUGACCAAAUUAACUCUCAAAAAUUAUAAUUUGACCCCAUAACUUUAAUUUAUUCCAAUUAAAGCCCAAAUUGACUUAAAAAUUAAUUUUUCUUGCAAUUAAACCCUCUAUAAAUUCAAUUAAACUUUCAAUAAAUCCAAUUGAGUCUAUAAACAUCCAAUUUUGGACUUUUCUCCCCAAAUUGAAUUUUCUUUUCCAACAAGGCUCUCAUCAUUCAAGUAUAUACUGUCAAAAUUUCAAUCCUUGUAUUUUUGAACCUCCUUAAUCAAUUUUUCUGACCAUUUUCUGAGCACUCCAACCUCCUACUGUUAUUUCCAAUUUCUUCCGACCAUAUAUUUAUAUUUAUUUUUAUUAUUAUAUUUUUAUUUUUAUUUUUUGUAUGGGGACCCAAAAAUGGGUUACAACACAAACAAUCGAUCACCAGCGAUAAUCCAACCAUUAUCUAGCUACACGUGCCACACUAUGUGAAAGAGGGCACGACUACGCUUCCAAUUAGAUGGCGAUUGAUCAUAUUUGGCUACUAGGAAGAGUCCUAUGCACCUCCUUAGUGGCACGGGCACUGCGCGCUCGUUAGGGCGUGAGGAAUACUGGCCCGCAGCUUUUCAAUUAAAAAUAAUAAAUACAUCAGAUCGUGAACAUACUAAAACGCCCUCAUGGUCCUUUUAAUUACACAAACAUCCAUAUAAAAAUACCAAAAUAUCCCCGAAUGUAAAGUUUUUUUUUUUUGAAGCUAAAAGCAUUAUAUGACUGUACUUGGAAAUUGAAAAAAUCCGAAUACCCUUGUAAUAGAAAGUCAAAGAAACAUCUCGUGAAAAUAUGAGAAAUUAAAAGUAAAACGACUAUUAUAAUCUACAGUAAAAAAUCUUUUAAUCUAUAGUGAUUUCCUCACACCAUUUAGUUUUUGUUAUAAUUGAGUUGUUCUCGUGAAAAUAUUGGAAUUUAUAAAUAAUUUUUAUACAAGGUGUCUUAUAUCUAUGUAAGAAUGAGAAGUAUAAUUUAGGAUUAUCUAAGUGGUAUGGUUGAGGGUAAGUAUGUACGAAGUAAUCACAUCUAACACUAUCUUCUUUAACCAUGUUGAGCGCGACAUGACAUGAAUGGAAGAUGGUUACGUGAAUAUGCUUUUAGGGGCUGUUUAUUUUUAUUUUAUUUUAAAAAAAAGCCAUGUUUUGUGAUUUUUUUUAAAAAAAAUAUUGUUUAAAAUUAAGUUUUUUAUAUUUUUAAAUAUGUCAAUAUCAAAAUUAAUUUUUAAAAAAUAAAAUAAAAAUAUUAUUUUCAUAUAUUUCUGAAUGAAAAGUAUUUUUAAAAAUAAUUGUUAUAUAUAACACUUAUAAACACUAUCUUAAUAUAUAAAUGACCCAGCAAGCUGAGAUUAUAUUAUGACUUGGGGUAAUCCUCAUAGUGUGGCUUGGUGAACAUGUAGGGUUUGGACAAUGCUUUCACCAUAGUGUGGCUUGACAUAAACUUAGGAAGAGUACACGAAGAUGCCUUUCGUCUAUAAAGGACCCAGCAAGUUGGAGUAUGGAGUAUAUAUUGAUUAUUCUUUUGUAUUGACUUGGAGUCAACGUGCAUGGAAGCAAGUUGAGUAUAAAAGGAUCCAGAGAGGCGAUAUUUAUGGAGUAACGUCGCCUACAAGUCUACAAUGGUGUACUAAGGAGGCUAAAAUUAACGGUGCUGGUAAUAUUAAGUACAAAACUAAAAUGUGUGAGUUUUUUUUACCGUGUAUUCAUAUAUUAUUAUGGAUUAAAUGUGUAAACUCUUGAGGUUUUUUCUUUUAAAUUAAUGAAAAAACAUAUAUGAAUUGGAUUGAUUUUUUAUUUUAGGUUGAUUUUAGUUUUUAGAACAGUUUUUUAAAGUCAAUGAUAGAUUUAUCAUGGUUCCUAAGAUAUUUUGAAGGUAUUUUAAGUAAACAAUUUGAAAAUGAGUUUUUAGAUAAAAAAAGUUAAGCCCUGAUUUUCCAGCCAUUGUGGUGACCGGAAUAUAAGCAAAUCAAACACCUUGUCCUCUAUUUUUUUUUCAAAAAAAAAUUAGGACGGAAGACAUGCUACAAAAAAAAUAAGAGCUCAAUCACGGGGGGUCUGCCACUGCAGGCUCACAUGGGGAACCUAACAAAAUGGGUGAGCCUGGCUUUUUUUUUUGUAAAUUUUUUUUUAAUUUGUUUUGUUUUUUUCUCUAUUUUUUUUCAUUUUUCAGAUUAUAUUUAUAAUAUGUGCAACCGCGCAUGGUGUUUUUUUCCUCUUUUAUUUUAUUCAAUCAAUUUAAUUUAUAUCUUUAUUUUUAUUAUCAUUUUUUUUAAUAAAAAAAAUAUCUUAAUAAAUAAAUUUAGCAAAUACAAUUAAAUAAUUUUUUUAUAUUUUAAAAUUAAAUAUGUUGAUGUGCAUCGAAAUCUUAAUUUUCAAAGCUUUAUACUUUUCGAAGCUUUAUACCUUAGAAAAUGAUACCUCAAUUUUGUACUUAUGAACUAUGUUUUGCUUGGAAACCUCUGAAGGUGGAGCCUGUCACCGUGAGUCAACAGCUAGUCUUCAGCUUUAUAUAUUAAUGCAUAUUAUUAAUUAAAGCAUAUUAUUAUCUUCCAUCAUAUGCGUGGAUAGAAUGCACUCUUACUUUUCAAAGGUGGCUUAGUCAAUAAUGCGAAGUAUUUGAUACGUUCGUUAAUUAUCUUGGGCACGGGAGGACUUAAUUUCAAGAAUAUAUAGUUCCCUUCGAAUGCUGCUAAAAAUCAUGGUGGCUAUAAACAAGAGCGCGGUGGAUAGGAGGAGAGCAUAACCAUUUUAGUUAGUCACAUAUAUUUCCAAGAUGAAGGCCUUUCUUAUCGCAUGCUUUCUCUUAGCUACCAUCGUCUUCUCUCCCCUAUCCACUUGCACUGCUCGAGAAUUGGCCGAGCGAGGUGAGAUUUUAUUUCCAUCAUUAACUUCAGAAAACCAGUUCAUUUUGUGCGUGUGUGCGUGUAGUCUCUUUGUGUAUUGCAAACAAUUUUUUGUUAUAAAACUGAUGAGUCAACCUUUACUUCUACUUCCGGCAUUAAUUAACUGGAGAUAAUCAUUAAUUUCAUGUUUUGUAUGCAUAUAUUAUUUAAUUAUUCUGUCGUGGCCUAUCUUAUAUAUAAAAAGAUGAUUCUGCUAUAAUAUCAGAUUAUGUCAACAUGAAUCUUGCAGACGUAUCCCGGGGAGCUCUCAACCCCCAUAAACCAGUGUACGGUUGCGGAAGGGGUAAUCGAUAUUGCGUACCUAAAACACCAAGAGGUUGCCCAAAUCCUUACAAGCGUAAUUGUGGGCGCCAUUAAGAUUAGAAGAAAGCAAAGUUGAGUACUGCUUAAAAGUAUGGAGAGCUAUACUACUAUCUUUAUCAAUAUGUAAAAUGAUCAGAACUAUUUAUGUGAGAAAAAUAAGCAAAGUUCUCCAGUGGAUUAGAAGAAGCAAGCAAAGUUGUCUGCUUAAAAAGUAUGGACGGCUCAUCGUGUCUCUAUCAAUAUGUAAAAUGUUAUUUUGAUAUGGGAACUAUUUACGUGAGAAAAAUAAAUAGAGUUCUUAGUGAGUUUCAUGGUUUCUUUUGAGGUUUUAAUUUCGGUCACUAUGCAGUCCUGAUCUUUUGAGGUUUUAUUAAUGAAGGAAUCCAAAAUAAUAAUAAUAAUAAUAAUAGGAGUGAGAAAAUGGUGCUGGAUUACCCAUAAAAUACCUAGAAAUUGGUUGAGGAGGUUCAAAAAUACAAUAAUUAAAAUUUGACAGUAUAUUUUUAACUUGUGAGAGUCAUGUGACAAGAAAAAUUCAAUUGAGGAAGAAAAGUUCAAAAUCAGAUGUUUAUGGACUCAAUUAAAUUUUAUCUAAGGUUUAAUUGAAUUUAUGGAGGGUUUGAUUGCAAGAAAAAUUGAUUUUUAAAGUAAAUUUACGCUUUUAUUGGAAAAAAAGUUAAAGUUCUGGGGUCCAAUUAUAAUUUUGAAGAGUUGAUUUGGUCAAAUUAGGGGCUUAAUUACAUAAUUAUUGAAGUUUGAUGGCUAAUUAGGAACUUAAUUGAAACAAUCCGAAACCAAGGACCAAACCAGAAAAGGCGAUAACAUUAAGGGACCCAAUUACAAUGUUUCCGGGGUUUGAUUACACAAUUGCGAAACUUUCAAGGACCAAAUCAGAAGACUCCAAACGGCGCCGUUUCCUUUGAAGCACUAUUCACUGUCUUCUCAAACAUGGCAGCUGUGGCGUUAAAGGCAGGAGACGUUAGCAGCGAUAAUGGAGCCGCUUCAAUCAGGGGGCAUGUCUCACGCCACCAUGUACGGAAGCCUUUACUUUGUUGCCAGAAAACUUCUGCAUCCUCUGGCUAUAAAAGCCAGAGGAAGGAUCGAGCAAAGGGGAGAAAAAAAGGGAGGAGAAAGCAAGGAGACAGCAGAAAAAAAAAACAGGGUGGGAAAAAAGGAAAGAGAAAAGAACAGAGGGGAAAGGAGACGAGGAGGACGCAGACACACCAGAAAAAAAGAACAGGGAGAAUAAAGAAAGGAAACAGAGGGAUGCGCACUGGGUAGCACAGGGAGAAGGAAGCAGGGGAGAGGGACUGUUGAACCUCUUUCAAAACCGCAGGAUCCGUGAUCAAGCUCAGACGAAUUGGAAAAAAAACACGAAUACCAGUAGCAAGGAAAAACAGACGAAGAGGAAGAACCAGAGGAAAAGCAAACGAAACAGGGAAGAUAUAAAUCCAAAACAUGUUGCUGUCUUCGUCUUGCUUCCAGGUAACUCCAGCUUGGCAAAAUAAUGCACAAAAUACUGUGCACUUGGAAUUUAAUUACAUGGUGGCUGCAGCAAGCGUGCGUGACUUAUUCACGCACGCUGGCGGGUAGAAUCCAGCCGGGUCACUGGUUUGGGCCAAUGACCCGGCUAAGCCUGCUGGGUCCAGCCCAGCCACAUGGGCCGAGCUAGACCCAGCCCAAAAAAAUCCAAAAAUCUCUUCAAAAAAUUUAUGAUUUUCUCGUAUAUUUUUUACUGCAUUUUGAUCAAUAUUGGUUUGUAUUUUUAUAAUGUAAAGAUACAAAUCCGGUAUUAAAAUACUUGGUUUUCGUCAAAACACAAAAAAGUAAAAAAUAAAUAAAUAAUAUUUUGUUUUCAUGCAUACGGCCAAGUAUCUCAAAGAAAAAAAAAUCAUAUUUUCAUACAACAAAAAUUCAAAAAAUAGGUAUUAGUAUGCAUUUUGGCUUUAAUAACCAGUUUAUUAAAGUUACGAGAACUAGGCCAAAAUUUCAAAAAUUCAAAAAAAUUAUUUUGUUUUCUUUUAAUAUCUAGGGUUACGACCUUAUACGUAAGACGUAUUCCGGAUAUUAAAUUCUUUUGUUGAUGUUAGAAUGGUUAAGUUUCACCCGAUAAGAUAAGGAUCUCCUUAUCAAGGAGAACUUUUCUUAAAUCAUAGACGGACCAACAACUAGAAAACACGACAAGACCUUAGAUUUUAUCAGACAAUAAAACAAUGCAGUUUACCUUAGGUAGGGCGUAUUUGGGGUGCUAAUACCUUCCCUUUACGCAACCAGUCCCCGCACCCGAUCUCUGAGACCAAUUAGGAUUCCUAGUGACCAAAAUACUAGGUGGUGAGUCCCAUUCCAAUUUUUCCACUAAUAAAAGACAAGAAUUUCUUGUCUCCCCAUAUUUUCCAUAUUUUUAGAUAAUACAAAAUUUUGAGGGUGGAUGUUUUCGCCGCACACGUGCGACAAUUAAAGUGCCAAAGGAUACCAAUCGUCCCACCACUACCAGAAAAUUGAUAAAUACAAACAGAAAUACCGAGGAAAUAUUUUUGUCGGUGAAUUGCCGACGGAUUUUACCGAUGGAAAUAUUCCCUCGAAAUUUACCGAGGGAAUUACAAUGGGAAAAAUAAUUAAAACAAAGCAAAAAAAUGAUGACGUGCCAUUUUUACCAACGAAAUUACCGACGAAAUAAAAUCAUUGGUAAACUGUCAACACUAUUCAUCAUGUUAAUUACGAAUGGAAUCACAGAGGGAGCAUUUCGUCGGUAUUUUACAGAGAGCUUUAGAACUAUUCACUUCCCAAUUGCACUGUUAAUUACUGUUCUUUACAGAAAAAAUCACUGACGGAUUGAAAAGUCGUCGAUGUUAUUUGGUGGUUUUCUGAAAAAUUUAAAUUAAAUAUUACAAACGGAAUCACUGACGGAAUGAAAAGUUAUCGGUGAUAUUUGACGGUUUCUAAAAUGUUUUUAUUAAAUUCAAAAUUUAAAUUAAAUAUUAUAGACAGAAUCACCGACGGAAUGAUUAAAAAUAUUAAUAUUUAAUUAUCCAUAAGUAAAAUUAUCGGUAAACGCCCCAAUAAAAAGCCUAGAAUCUCUACAGACCCGUCUUCUUUCUUCUUCUUCUUCUUCUUUUUUUCUUCUCUCUCCUCAACUCCUUCUCUUCUCCUCCAUACUCAGGUAUGUCUUCUUCUUCUUCUUUUCUUCUGUUCUCUCCUCAACUCCUUCUCUUCUCCUCCAUACUCAAGUAUGUUUUCUUCUCCUUUCUUAUUUUUUCUUCUCAGUUUUUUUUAAUUAGUAUAGUUUACGAAUUUUUUUUUCUCUUCUUAGCUUCACUUGCAACUACAUUAAGGUAAAAAAAACAUUUCUUCUUUUUUCGUGUUUUUUUCACUAUAUUUGUUUUUUAUUUUAUUUGUAAUUGCUUUUUUCUUAAUAAUUGUAUGAAUUUUGUUGUAGGAUUCAUUUUUUCAUAUAAGAUCAAUUUUUAGUUGAUUUCUUUAUAGGAUUUUUAAACUUUUUUCAUAUGAAUUUUUUUAGUUGAAUUUAUUUUUUCACGUUAUUUAUUUGUUGCAAAUUUUUUUGAUUUGAUUUUCUUCCUUUUUCCAAGAAUUUUGAGUAUUAUAGACUGUUGAUUAAUAAUUAUUUUAUAUUUUUGUAAUAUAUAAUUUAUAUAUUUUUAAAUAAUUACCGAUGGAAUUACAUACGGUUUGUUUCCGAGGAAAUUACCGACGGAAUGAAAUAGUUUUUUUUUGCUUGCUUUUUUCGUUAGUAAAUCCAUCUGUAAUAAUAUUUUUUUAUUACCAACGGACUUACCGACGGACAAAAAAUUAUCAACGAAAGAUUAACCGAUGGAGACUUUCCGUCGGUGAUUUUGUCGGUGAGUUUUUUACCAAUGAAAUGGUAGUGCAAAUACUGACAGAAAAUUUCGUCGGUAAAUCUAAAGAUUUUGGUAGUGCACCUUAGAUGAGUGGUCUUACCAGUUGAAACGGUUUGAUGAAUUUGCUUCCAUACAAAUGUUAUAAGCUUGAGUAAUUUUCAUCGGUGUCAAGAACAACUAUUAGGUACUUUAUGGCUCCAAAAGCAAGUAAUUAUAUAAUCUUUAAGCCGCUUUUGGAUCAGUAGUUACUAGUAGAUUAUAUAAUCUUUAAGCUGCUUUUGGAUCAGUAGUUAGUAGUAUAUUGUCUCGCACUAUGAAUUAAUAUCAAAUUUAAAAAAAAUGUAAAAGAAAUAUUAAGAGUAUAGAUAAUGUUUUAAUAGCCUUGGAUCAAGUAGUCAUGUCAGAUUCAAGGCUCUUAGGUCUGAAAUGGCUCUUAGGUCUGAAAUGGUUGUCAAACCCAAGUAGCUUAGGUCUGGUGUGGUAGCUAGAUGCAAGGCGUUUGGGUCUGGCAAAAACGCUACACGCAAACUUAUUUUUCAUUUUUUUAUGCUAAAAACAUUAUUUUACUGUAUAUGAAAAUUGUAAAAACCUGAAAUGCCCUUUUUCGGCAGCCUAUCUUUUAUAUAUAUAUAUAUUUGAGGCAAAGAAGUAUUAUUACUAAUACGAAUAUUGUGAAAAGCCAAGAAAGUCAUUGGUUAACAAUUCUAAUUUUUAUUAACUCUAGGGGUUAAAGAGUACUUUAACUAUGUCCUAGGUGCCUUGGGUCUAGCAGCCUUGCUAGAUUGGCAUCUAGAUCUGCAACCAUGCCAGAUCGUGUUGGGGUCUGCCACACCCACGCAUGGGUCUGACAACCAUACUAGAUCCACGCACAACAAACAAAGUGGAUAAUUGUGUACUUUAGUUUUUAGGAGAGAAAAAAAAUAGAAGAAAAAACACAAACAAUCGAUCAUCAGCGGCAAUCCAACCAUUAUCUAGCUACACGCGCCAUACUAUGUGGAAGAGGGCACAACUAUAAACUUCCAAUUAGAUGGUCGUUAGCCAUAUUUGGCUACUAGAAAGUGUCAUAUAUGCCUCCUUAAUGGCGUGAGGAACACUGACCCACAGCUUUUCAAUUAAAAUAAUAAAUAUAUCAUGAAAAUACUAAAACGCCCCCAUGGUCCUCUUAAUUACACAAAUAUCCGUAUAAAAAUACCAAAAUACCCCCAAAUGCAAAGUUUUUUAUUUUAUUUUUUCUGAGGCUAAAAGCGUUAUAUGACUGUACUUGGAAAUUGAAAAAAUCCAAAUACCAUUGUAAUAGAAAAUCAAAGAAACAUCUCGUGAAAAUAUAAGAAAUUAAAAGUGAAACUACUGUUAUAAUCUACAAUAAAAAAUCUCUUAAUAUAUAGUGAUUUUCCGACAUCAUUUAGUUUUUGUUAUAAUUGAGCUGUUUUCGUGAAAAUAUUGGAAUUUAUAAAUAAUUUUUAUACAAGGUGUCUUAUAUCUAUGUAAGAAUGAGAAGUAUAAUUUAGGAUUAUCUGAGUGGUAUGGUUAUGUACUAAGUAAUCACAUCUAACAGACUUUCUUCUUUAACCAUGUUGAGCGCGAUAUGACAUGAACAGAGGAUGGUUACAUGAAUAUGCCUUUACGGGCCGUUUAUUUUAUUUUUAAUUUUAAAAAAAACUGUGUUUUAUGAUUUUUUUUAAAAAAAAUUAUUGCUUGAAAUUAAUUUUUUUAUGUUUUUAGAUCUGUUAAUAUUAAAAUUAAUUUUUAAAAAAUAAAAUAAAAAUAUUAUUUUUAUAUAUUUCUGAACGAAAAAUAUUUUUAAAAACAAUCGCUCUCACAUUUAUAAACAAUAUUUUAAUAUAUAAAAGACCUAGCAAGUUGGAUUAUAUUUUGACUUGGGGUAAUCCUCACAGUGUGGCUUGGUUAACCUAUAGGGUUUGGACAAUGCUUUCACUCAUUGUUAUUAAACCCGGCCCGGCGGGUCGACCAGGGACCCAGUCGACCUGGUAGCUGGACCGGUCCGGGUUUAAUAAAAGACUGGCUGGGGUAAUAGUCAGGCCAAACCCGGGUGACCCGGCGGGUCGAUCCAUGACCCGAGCGACCCGGGCGAACCCGGACGAGACCGGGUGUUUUUUUUUUUUCAAAUGUGAGAUUUCAAACCCAUUAGUAUAUAUACUUUAUGUUUCCAAGAAAAAAGUCAUGUUUUUUCAAUGUGGGAUAAAAAAACCUUUUGGUUUAAAUACUUCAACUUAAAAGAAUAACAUGGUAUCUUUUUAAUAUGGAAUUUGAAGCCCUUUCGUAUAUAUACUCUAUGUUCUCAUGAAAAAAGUUAUGUUUUUUCAAUGUGGAAUUUGAAACCCCUUAGUAUAUAUACUCUAUGUUCCCAAGAAAAAAAAUCAUGUUUUUUCAAUGUGAGAUAAAAAAACCUUUUGGUUUAAAUAUUUCAACUUAAAAGGAUAACAUAAUAUCUUUUCAAUGUGGAAUUUGAAGUCAUUUCGUAUAUAUACUCUAUGUUCUCAUAAAAGAAGUUAUGUUUUUUCAAUUUGAGAUUUGAAACCUAUUAGUAUAUAUACUCUAUGUUCCCAAGAAAAACGUUAUGUUUUUUCAAUGUGGGAUAAAAAAAAAUUUGGUUUAAAUACUUCAACUUAAAAGCUUAACAUAAUAUCUUUUUAAUGUGGGAUAAAAAACUUUUUAAAAUAUUAUUUUAAACUUCAUUGUUUACAAUAUGUGUAACCUAUAUUUACAUGGAUUUUUUUCAUAUGAAAUAUUAAAAUUUUAAUUUUUCCAGGUUGAUCCGGGUUAACCCGAGUUGACCCAUAAAACCUGAAACCCGGCCCUUUAACCGGCAACCCCAAGCUGAGUUUAAUAACUAUGCUUUCACCUUGGCAUCAACUCAGGAAGAGUAGACGAAGAUGCCUUUCGUCUAUAUUUGACUCGGAGUAUAGAUAAUUCUUUUGUAUUGACUUGGAGUCAACGUGCAUGGAAGCAAGUUGAGUAUUUAAGGAUCCAGAGAGGCGAUAUUUAUGUAGUAACGUCGCCUAGAAGUCUACAAUGGUGUACUAAGGAGGCUAAAAUUAACGUUGCUGGUAAUAUUAAGUAUAAACUAAAAUGUGUGAGUUUUUUUUACCGUGUAUUCAUAUAUUAUUAUGGAUUAAAUGUCUAAAAUCUUUAGUUUUUUUUUUCAAUUUGGUUUUUAAUUUAUUUAUUUUUGAUGAUUUAGUCCUAAUUGUGUAAAAUCUUUUUUAUUAGGUGGUUUUUUACCUUUAUACUUCAUGAAAAAAUAUAUAUAUAUAUAUAAACUCGGAUUGAUUUUUUGUUUUUGGUUGAUUUUGGUUUUUGAGACAGUUUUUUGAAGUCAAUGAUAGAUUUAUCACGGUUCCUAAAAUAUUUUAUAGGUAUUUUAAGUAAACAAUUUAAAAAUGGGUUUUUAAGUCAAAAAAGUUAAGCCCUGAUUUUUCAGCCAUUGUGGUGGCUGGAAUAUAAACAAAUCAAACAACUUGUUCUCUGAUUUUUUUUUCAAAAAAAAGUAGGACAAUGGACAUGCUACAAAAGAAAUAAGAGUCCAAUCACGGGGGCUUGCCAGUGCAGGCUCACUUAGGGAACCUAACAAAAUGGGCAAGGCGUCCGAACCCAACAAAGCUUGGCCUUUGUUUUUUUCUUGUAAAUUAUUAUUUCUUAAUUUUUUUAAAUGAAUGAUUUGUUUUGUUUUUUUCUCUAAUUUUUUUAUUUUUCAGAUUAUAUUUAUAACAUGUGUAACCGCGCAUCGUGUUUUUUUCCCCUUUUAUUCUAUUCAAUAAAUUUAAUUUGUGUUUCCAUUUUUAUUAUUAUUUUCUUUAAUAAAAAAUUAUCUUAAUAAAUAAAUUUAGCAAAUACAAUAAGAUAAAUUUCUUAUAUUUAAAGAUUAAAUAUCUUGAUGUAAACCUAAAUCUUAAUUUUCAAAGCUUUAUAAUUUUCGAAGCUUUAUACCUUAGAAAAUGAUACCUCAAUUUUGUACUUGCUAAAGCUUAAUUUUGACUCAAUUUAUAAAUAUCUUGACUCAAUUUUGUCACCGUGAGUCAACAGCUAGUCUUCAGCUUUAUUAAAGCAUAUAUACUAUUAUCUUCCAUCAUAUGUGGAUAGAAUGCACUCUUACUUUUCAAAGUUGGCUUAUUCAAUAGUGCGAAGUAUUUGAUACGUUCAUUAAUUAUCUUGGGCACGUGUGGAUAGAAUGCACUCUUACUUUUCAAAAAAAUAGUAUUUUGUGAUUUUUUGAAAAGAAUAUUGCUUGAAAUUAAUAUUUUUUAUUUUUAGAUUGUUGUGAUGUGUUAAUAUGAAAAAUAAUUUUUAAAAAUUUAAAAUAAAAAUAUUUUAUAUAUAUAUAUCUAAAUAAAAAAAUAUUUUUAAAAAUAAUAUGUAUAAUCUUAAUAUAUAAAAAGGACCCAUAAAAACACUAUCUUAAUAUAUAAAAAGGACCCAGCAAGCUGACAUAAACUUAGGAAGAGUAGACGAAGAUGCCUUUCGUCUAUAUUUGACUCGGAGUAUAGAUAAUUCUUUUGUAUUGACUUGGAGUCAACGUGCAUGGAAGCAAGUUGAGUAUUUAAGGAUCCAGAGAGGCGAUAUUUAUGUAGUAACGUCGCCUAGAAGUCUACAAUGGUGUACUAAGGAGGCUAAAAUUAACGUUGCUGGUAAUAUUAAGUAUAAACUAAAAUGUGUGAGUUUUUUUUACCGUGUAUUCAUAUAUUAUUAUGGAUUAAAUGUGUAAAAUCUUUAGUUUUUUUUUUCAAUUUGGUUUUUAAUUUUUUUUUGAUGAUUUAGUCCUGAUUGUGUAAAAUCUUCUCAAUUAGGUGUUUUUUUACCUUUAAAGUUCAUAAAAAACAUAUAUAAACUCGGAUUGAUUUUUAGUUUUGGGUUGAUUUUGGUUUUUAGAACGAUUUUUUGAGCUCAAUGAUAGAUUUAUCAUGGUUUAUAAGAUGUUUUGUAGGUAUUUUAAGUAAACAAUUGGUUGAAAAUGGGUUUUUGGGUCAAAAAAGUUAACCUGAUUUUCCAGCCAUUAUGGUGGCCGGAAUCUAAACAAAUCAAACGACUCGUCCUCCGAUUUUUUUUUCUAAACAAAAUUGGGACAGAAGACACAUUACACAAAAAAAAAAUAAGAGUCCAAUCACGGGGGGGCCUGCCAGUGCAGGCUCGCAUGUGGAACCAAACAAAAUGGGUGAGGCGUCCAAACUCAACACAGAGCCUGGCCUUUGUUUUUUUUUUUGUAAAUUAUUAUUUUUUAAUUUUUUUUAAAUUAAUGAUUUUUUUUCUCUAAUUGUUUUUUAUUUUUCAGAUUAUCAGAUUAUAUUUAUAAUAUGUGCAACCACGCUUGGUGUAUUUUUCUUCUUUUAUUCUAUUCAAUCAAUUUAAUUUGUGUCUCUAUUUUUAUUAUCAUUUUCUUUAAUAAAUAAAUUAUUUUGAUAAAUAAAUUUAGCAAAUAGAAUCAAAUAAAUUUCUUAUAUUUUAGAAUUAAAUAUCUACAUCAACACCUAACUCUUAAUUUUCAAAGCUUUAUAUUUUUCGAAGCUUUAUACCUUAGAAAAUGAUACCUCAAUUUUGUACUUAUGAACUAUGUUCUGCUUGGAAACCUCUGAAGGUGGAGCCUGUCACCGUGAGUCAACAGCUAGUCUUCAGCUUUAUUAAUGCAUAUUAUUAAUUAAAGCAUAUUAUUAUCUUCCUUCAUAUGUGGAUAGAAUCCACUCUUACUUUUCAAAGUUGGCUUAUUCAAUAGUGCGAAGUAUUUGAUACGUUCAUUAAUUAUCUUGGGCACCUGUGGACUUAAUUUCAAGAAUAGUUCCCUUCGAAUGCUGCUAAAAAUCAUGGUGGCUAUAAAUAGCUAGGAGCGGUGGAUAGGAGGAGAGCAUAAUCAUGUUAGUCGCAUAUAUUUCCAAGAUGAAGGCCUUUCUUAUCGUAUGCUUUCUCUUAGCUACCAUCGUCUUCUCUCCCCUGUCCACUUGCACUGCUCGAGAAUUGGCCGAGCGAGGUGAGAUUUUAUUUCCAACAUUAACUUCAAAAAAGCAGUUCAUUUUGUGUGUGUAAUCUCUGUGUACACGACCUUUUGUUAUAAAACUGAUGAGUCAACCUUUACUUCUACUUCCGGCAUUAAUUAAGUUAAGAUAAUCAUUAAUUUCAUGUUUUGUAUGUAUUUAUUGUUUAAUUAAUCUGUCGUGGGCUAUCUUAUAAAAAAAGAAGAAGAUGAUUCUGCUAUAAUAUCAGAUUAUGUCAACAUGAAUUUGCUGUAACAUGCGUGAAUCUUGCAGACGUAGGAACUCGGAACCCCAAUAAACCAGUGUUCAGUUGCGGAAGGGGUAAUCGAUAUUGCGUACCUGGCCCAUCACCAAAACGUAAAUGCACAAGUCCUUACCGGCGUGGUUGUGGGCGCCAUUAAGAUUAGAAGCAAGCAAAGUUGAGUGCUUAAAAGCAUGGAGAGCUUCUGCUGUCUUAGUCAAUAUGUAAAAUGAUGAGAACUAUUUAUGUGAGAAAAAUAAAUUAAGUUCUUAGUGAGUUAAUUUCAUGGUAUCUUUUGAGGUUUUUAUUUCGGUCAUUACGCAGUCCUCU
rnacentral:lncRNA from 1 species